CAAACAGCAGCGCAGACGAACAAACGUGCAUCAAACAAGUUUGUCAAACAAUUAGCUAGAAUCGGUAUAGUACGCCGC